UGGUAAUCGAGGUUCCCCUCAAAACCAGAAGCUGGGACUCUGGGCGAAGGCAGAGCACCGCGGCCCAAGCAGACGGGUCGUGGCCGAUCCCAACCCCUUCCUGCGGGUGUGUGUGGCCCCUGGAGGGACGGAGAGUUCUGGUGGCCGUGCAGCCUCUGUUCACCUGUUCUCCAGAGGUGAUGAGAACAUCUCCAUCGCGGGCCACCACGGGCAGCCCAGGACUCCAACGUAACGGGGUGCAUCCCUGCAGCUCAGCGCUCGGCGCUUUUCUGGAGACAGCCGAGGAGCAUGCCACAUCCCAGCCACACUGUGGGGGUGAAGGGUGGGGUGACCGCCCAUGAGGAUUACGGCCAUCCCCCCAUCACUCAUGUUGCCAAGCCAUGACCAGGCGGCCAGGACUCAUGGGCGGUGUCUCCUCCGGGGCCAUGCUGGCAUCCGUAACCUCCAUACACCCUUGUGGUCCCAUCCAGCCAUCCCUGCCCGCCCGCCUGGCCCAGUCUGUCGUGAAGUUUCCGUCAGCCUUUCGCGUGUGCAUAGUCCCACCUCCCAGGGGUUCCGGCGCCCGUCGGAAGGGUUCUCCCGCUCAUUCCUGGCUAGGCAAGUUCAGAGGACCAUCAGCUUGAGGUUAUACUGUCGUUAAGGUAGGUGCGACGGGGGCCUGACCCACUUAAUCUCAGAGGCAGUCCAUGCUGUAAAACGCACAGGAACCACACCCAGGGCCUCCCCGGUCUCCUCGUGUGUGCAGAGCAAACGCCCCGAGGAAGAGACGCGAGGAACGCCCUUCCUCCUUGUUGCCAAGUUACCCCGAAUGUGUUCAUCCCUCUGCUGCAAGGAGAAGGCGGCAUGUUCUGGGAGGAUCGAGCGACCCUCUAAGAUACAGAGCAGAGACUUUGCACGGGCCAUCAGACGGUUCCGCAAACUCGUAGACACCCAUCUAACGUUAGUUACGCGGACACGCGGCGCAACGCAUCAGGCUCUUUCUCCAGGGCGUCAGGCGGGGAAGUUGCAUCGUGCAGUCCGGCCACCGCGAAGGACGUUGGGCGGUCUUUCCUCCGCUGUGUUUCGAUGAAAACUCGCGCGGGUCUCCAUGAAUGUCCGCGGCCGCGUGCCAGCCAGCAACAGCCACCCGCCCCGUCCCGUCCGUGUGCACCCCGGUGAGCAGACACGCUCUCCCUCAACGCGACCACCCUUCUCUUCCGCAGGUGUGAUGAAUGGCGCCUCUGUGUUGUUUUGUUAUAGCUUCCGCCUCCCCACGUGGAGAGGGGCAAUAAAGACAAAGCUGAGACAUUAUGGCUAUUCCAGAAAAUAAAAUAUUUUUGAAACCGC